rnacentral:lncRNA from 1 species
ACGAUUCCCUUAAUUUUUUUUAUUAAGCUGGGCUUUUCAUAAAAGAAACAAAGCACAACAAAAGCAACAGAAAAAGUCCCAAAAUAAAACGAACCAAGCCCAAACAGAAAGGAAACCUAAAAAAGCCUAAAAGAAAGUCCAAUGAAAACAGCUCCCAAACACGCAACAACCAGGAUAGCACCGAACAAGAACAAGGAGCUGUUCAGAAAAUCCUUUGGAAAGCACUACCCAUAGCCAAAGAGUUGCUCCCAAAACCAAACAAAAUCAUCUAUGAUAGUGGCUCAAACCCUAUUGAAGGAGGCACCAUCACUGGAAAAACAAAGAUCCCGACACACAUAGAGAUCCAGAAUCCUGUCCGAGAGUCAACGAAAACACCUGCAAACAUCAAGAAACCAUCGAGACUCCCAAGCUUCCCCCAAUAAAACCAGAUCCCGACCGCCGCGAAGCUAACCAGCAUGAGGUCUCAGGGAGGAGGUCGGCUCCCCCAAACACAUACCGCGUCGAUCCGUCUCCACGGCCAGAAGAGCGAACUCUGGGAUCCCCCCCCCCCCUUCUUUGAAUAACACGGCCCUCACCCCGAAGGCCCUUAGUAGCCAACAGGUGGGCCACAGAGUUUCCCUCAUGGGGAACAUGCAGGAACCGACACAAAUGGAACUGCCCGAUCAAGCCCUUGAUAUAACUGAUGUAAUAGCCGAUUCGUCAUGAUGAUGAGAAUAAAGUUUACGAGUCACAGUCAGAGAGUCUCCUACAAAGAUUACCUCUUGUAAGCCCAAUUCGAGACCCAAUCGUAUAGCAUGGUAGCAGGCCAGAGCUUCCGCAGCAAAAGCAGAAGGUAUGCGCGUGGUUACUACUGAUGUGUAGCCAACUACGGAACCAAGAUUAUCCCUAAUAACAAUCCCCGCACAGGUCAUCAACGUAGGCGCGUGGAAAGCAUCAUCAAAGUUCACUUUUAAGCAAGAACCUUCAGGAUCAAUGCUCAGGUCCAAUCAGACGUCCAGGUAGCUUCGCAUGCACCGCGUCAAACUCCAACAGGUAAGACCGCACUCUACAGAUAAUCCCCUGAAUUUGAACAAUUGCAUUUUCAUGCACUCGCCUAUUCCUGACAUGCCAAAUUAACCACAGAGUACACACCACUGAUCUGGAAACAGAAAUGCUAUGCACAAUAAAAUCAUAUAGCAACCAAUCCUGAAAGGAAACAUCAGUCAAUUCACUAGGCCAUGUAACAUGCAGCUCUGCCCAAACACGCGAUGUCGAAAUGUAGUCCCGAAAAAUAUGUUCCAACGUUUUAGCCGAGGCCAUGCACCAAGGGCAUAGUCGUGAUGCGCGAAUCCGCUUGUUGUAAGAUUGUAAUAGCUAGGAAUAAAAUUAUGAAAAAUACGUCACGCUGUUAUUUUUAUUCUUGCCGAAAGUUGCAUCUUCCACAGUUUGUUGUAAAUGUCUAAUGUUGUAAAGAGCCGUAGCCAUUGCACACUGAAUAGUCCCACGAAACUCAGUGCACUACACCAUAAAGUCUGCAUGAGCAACCCG